CCCUUAGAUGUUCUGGGCCGCACGCGCGCUACACUGAUGCAUUCAACGAGCCUAUCCUUGACCGACAGGUCCGGGUAAUCUUUGAAUCUGCAUCGUGACGGGGAUAUAUUAUUGCAAUUAUUAAUCUUCAACGAGGAAUGCCUAGUAGGCGCAAGUCAUCAGCUUGCGUCGAUUACGUCCCUGCCCUUUGUACACACCGCCCGUCGCUCCUACCGAUUGGGUGUGCUGGUGAAAUGUUCGGAUCGGCCGUUUGUCGCGGUUUCCGCGUCAUGUGGCUGAGAAGUUCAUUAAACCCUCCCACCUAGAGGAAGGAGAAGUCGUAACA
rnacentral:rRNA from 1 species